UGUGGUGUGGCUCAGUGGUAGAGUGUUUGCCUUCCUGUAUGAGGCACUGGGUUUCAUUCUUAGCACCACAU
rnacentral:tRNA from 1 species